UACGAAGGGGGCUAGCGUUGUUCGGAAUCACUGGGCGUAAAGGGCGCGUAGGCGGCCGAUCAAGUCGGGGGUGAAGGCCUGUGGCUCAACCACAGAAUUGCCUUCGAUACUGUUUGGCUUGAGACCGGAAGAGGUAAGUGGAACUGCGAGUGUAGAGGUGAAAUUCGUAGAUAUUCGCAAGAACACCAGUGGCGAAGGCGGCUUACUGGUCCGGUUCUGACGCUGAGGCGCGAAAGCGUGGGGAGCAAACAGG
rnacentral:rRNA from 1 species